AUUGAACGCUGGCGGCAUGCCUUACACAUGCAAGUCGAACGGCAGCACGGGUGCUUGCACCUGGUGGCGAGUGGCGAACGGGUGAGUAAUACAUCGGAACAUGUCCUGUAGUGGGGGAUAGCCCGGCGAAAGCCGGAUUAAUACCGCAUACGAUCUACGGAUGAAAGCGGGGGACCUUCGGGCCUCGCGCUAUAGGGUUGGCCGAUGGCUGAUUAGCUAGUUGGUGGGGUAAAGGCCUACCAAGGCGACGAUCAGUAGCUGGUCUGAGAGGACGACCAGCCACACUGGGACUGAGACACGGCCCAGACUCCUACGGGAGGCAGCAGUGGGGAAUUUUGGACAAUGGGCGAAAGCCUGAUCCAGCAAUGCCGCGUGUGUGAAGAAGGCCUUCGGGUUGUAAAGCACUUUUGUCCGGAAAGAAAUCCUUGGCUCUAAUACAGUCUGGGGAUGACGGUACCGGAAGAAUAAGCACCGGCUAACUACGUG
rnacentral:rRNA from 1 species